AUGUACGUAGACGUUCAGGAAGCAAAUGAAAGAAUGAUUGAUGUGUACCUCCGUGUCUCGCCUGAUGCACCACUUUGGAGGGCGACUUUCGUGUACGGCGAACCACGUGUGGAGAAUCGGCAUCUAAUGUGGAACAAAAUCAGAAGCUUGCACGCACAGAAUACACUGCCGUGGAUCCUUAUUGGUGAUUUCAACGAAGCCAUGUGGGACUUUGAGCACCAGUCAGAGAAACCUCGAACACCCGGCCAGAUGUUAAAUUUUCGUGAUACUUUGGAGUCUUGUGCGCUUACUGAUCUUGGUUUUUCACGUCAUCCCUUUACAUACGAUAAUAGAAGAAGUGGACGUGCAAAUGUCCAGGUCCGACUUGAUAGAGCUGUUGCCUCGAAUGAGUGGAGGGACAUGUUCGGCCGCGCAUCUAUGACACACCUUGUCUCGCCAGUGUCAGACCACUGUCCUCUCCUUCUCAGGUGCGAUCUGGAUGAGGAGCAGAGGCCAAAAAGCAGUCGGAGAUAUGAGCUAAUGUGGGAAAGAUCUCCGGCGUUGGAAGCCAUAAUUGCCAACUCCUGGACAAGCAAAGUCGCGGCGAGCAGGGCACCGGACGGGCGACGUGCCGUCUGGGCUUUUUUAUGGAGGUGCCCUGCUCCUCCAAAGGUGCGUGUCUUUGGUUGGCGUGUGGCUACGAAUGCUCUCGCAACUUGGGCAAAUAAAUUUGCACGCCAGAUGGAGCUUACUGACGUGUGCCCUCUCUGUGGUCUCGAGCGCGAGGACACGUUUCAUGUGUUUUGCAGGUGCCCAAGAGCUGUUGAUCUGUGGCAAGCCAUGGCGCAAGUUUGGCGGAUACCUGAUGUUAAAUCAAUCCGCAAUACAGGACCGGAGUGGUUCCUGAAUCUCAUCGCGGAGUGUGACGAGGGUGACCGCCUCAGAGUCCUCAUGCUUAUGUGGAGAUGCUGGCACGUGCGUAACGAGAUCCAACAUGACAAGGCACCGCCACCCAUGGAGGUGUCCCGACGGUUCCUUCAAAGCUACGUCACCUCACUGUUGGGGAUCCAACAAUACCCGGCCGGGGACUGGGACAAAGGAAAGAUGGUCACUCAACUAGAGGGAGCGGAGCAGCCAAUAUCGCAUGUGGACGUAAGCUGGAAGUCUCAGCGCAAGUGGAGCCCGCCUCCGGAAGGUUGGGCGAAGCUCAACGUGGAUGGGUCAUUCUCACACGAGGAUGGAAGCGCCGGUGCCGGCAUGAUCUUGCGCGGGCACGACGAUGCCAUCAUUUUCUCUGCAUGCCGUUCGCUUCGGUCAUGCCCGGACCCAUUGCACGCUGAGUUGGCCGGGUGCACGGAGGGACUCGGCCUAGCUUUGCAGUGGACGGAGUUGCCGAUUAUCCUAGAGUGUGACAGUAUGCAGGCCGUCCAGAUGAUCAAGGCAAAAGGACCGGAUCGUUCCCAGCAUGCGAUGGUGGUCUCAGAAGUAAAGAGUCUUAUGGGUACAAGGGAGUAUUGUGUUACUCACAUCUCUAGAGAGCAAAAUAAUGUUAGUCAUGUGUUAGCAAACUUCGGUCGAACGGAGAACCGUACUGUGGUCUGGCUCCACUCUGGACCUGCUAAUGUCCCUGGUCUGUGUAGGGAUGAAUUCGUGUGCUCUUGA
rnacentral:rRNA from 1 species